ACAAAUUAGCCAGUUCAUCAUAGCGGCCACGUCGCAGCGUUCCUACACUAUUUGGAAGCGACACGGAAUGCUGGCCCUGAGGAGAUUGUGCCUCACGACUUGGCCGCUUUCAACAACUACCUCGAGUGGUUCCAUGAAAACACGCGUAUCGAGUUAGUGAAGCACGCAUAUGCUGAGGACAUCUUGGACGACCCCAUCGAGUUCGAUGAGGUUGCGCAAAGCCAGCAUGACACCUUUGCUCGCAGAGGGAGAUCGACUUCUAUUGCUUCCGAGCUGAACUUCGUGCGGACGGAGAUCCAAAAAACAGCUCACGAGUGCGAGAUUAUGUGGGAGCAGAGCGGGAGAGAUGAAAAGCCUGUCGGACCGUUGCGGCAUUUCAUUAAGAACACUGCACGAAAGAUGCGGCGGUUAGCCAACUUGCUAGGUUGCCGCGAAGGCGAAAUUCCUACAUCCUCCUCUUCUGAAGAG